rnacentral:rRNA from 1 species
GAGUUUGAUCAUGGCUCAGAACGAACGCUGGCGGCAGGCUUAACACAUGCAAGUCGAACGCGUGUAGCAAUACACGAGUGGCGCACGGGUGAGUAACGCGUGGAUAUCUGCCUUUUGGUUCGGAAUAACCCCGGGAAACUGGGGCUAAUACCGGAUGGUUCCUACGGGAUAAAGAUUUAUCGCCAAAAGAUGAGUCCGCGUACGAUUAGCUAGUUGGUGAGGUAAUGGCUCACCAAGGCGACGAUCGUUAGCUGGUCUGAGAGGACGAUCAGCCACACUGGGACUGAGACACGGCCCAGACUCCUACGGGAGGCAGCAGUGGGGAAUAUUGGACAAUGGGGGCAACCCUGAUCCAGCCAUUCCGCGUGAGUGAAGAAGGCCUUCGGUUGUAAGCUCUUU